UACGAAGGGGGCUAGCGUUGUUCGGAAUCACUGGGCGUAAAGCGCAUGCAGGCGGACUGAUAAGUCAGGGGUGAAAGCCCGAGGCUCAACCUCGGAACUGCCUUUGAUACUGUCAGUCUUGAGUCCGGGAGAGGUGAGUGGAACUGCGAGUGUAGAGGUGAAAUUCGUAGAUAUUCGCAAGAACACCAGUGGCGAAGGCGGCUCACUGGCCCGGUACUGACGCUGAGAUGCGAAAGCGUGGGGAGCAAACAGG
rnacentral:rRNA from 1 species